CCUACGGGAGGCAGCAGUAGGGAAUCUUCCACAAUGGGCGAAAGCCUGAUGGAGCAACGCCGCGUGGGUGAAGAAGGUCUUCGGAUCGUAAAACCCUGUUGUUAGAGAAGAAAGUGCGUGAAAGUAACUGUUCACGUUUCGACGGUAUCUAACCAGAAAGCCACGGCUAACUACGUGCCAGCAGCCGCGGUAAUACGUAGGUGGCAAGCGUUAUCCGGAUUAUUUGGCGUAAAGGGAACGCAGGCGGUCUUUUAAGUCUGAUGUGAAAGCCUUCGGCCUAACCCGGGUAGGGCAUUGGAAACUGGGAGACUUGAGUGCAGAAGAGGAGAGUGGAAAUCCAGGUGUAGCGGUGAAAUGCGUAGAUAUAUGGAAGAACACCAGUGGCGAAAGCGGCUUUCUGGUCUGUAACUGACGCUGAGGUUCGAAAGCGUGGGUAGCAAACAGGAUUAGAUACCCUGGUAGUC
rnacentral:rRNA from 1 species